rnacentral:rRNA from 1 species
UACGAGGGGGGCAAGCGUUGUUCGGAAUUAUUGGGCGUAAAGGGCGCGUAGGCGGCGCGGUAUGUCUCUUGUGAAAUCUCCAGGCUCAACUUGGAGUCUGCAAGGGAAACUGCCGUGCUUGAGUACUGGAGAGGUGAGUGGAAUUCCCGGUGUAGCGGUGAAACGCGUAGAUAUCGGGAGGAACACCAGUGGCGAAAGCGGCUCACUGGACAGUAACUGACGCUGAUGCGCGAAAGCUAGGGGAGCAAACAGG